UGGGGAAUUUUGGACAAUGGGGGAAACCCUGAUCCAGCCAUCCCGCGUGUGCGAUGAAGGCCUUCGGGUUGUAAAGCACUUUUGGCAGGAAAGAAACGUCGCGGGUUAAUACCCCGCGAAACUGACGGUACCUGCAGAAUAAGCACCGGCUAACUACGUGCCAGCAGCCGCGGUAAUACGUAGGGUGCAAGCGUUAAUCGGAAUUACUGGGCGUAAAGCGUGCGCAGGCGGUUCGGAAAGAAAGAUGUGAAAUCCCAGAGCUUAACUUUGGAACUGCAUUUUUAACUACCGGGCUAGAGUGUGUCAGAGGGAGGUGGAAUUCCGCGUGUAGCAGUGAAAUGCGUAGAUAUGCGGAGGAACACCGAUGGCGAAGGCAGCCUCCUGGGAUAACACUGACGCUCAUGCACGAAAGCGUGGGGAGCAAACAGGAUUAGAUACCCUGGUAGUCCACGCCCUAAACGAUGUCAACUAGCUGUUGGGGCCUUCGGGCCUUGGUAGCGCAGCUAACGCGUGAAGUUGACCGCCUGGGGAGUACGGUCGCAAGAUUAAAAACUUAAAUGAAUUGACGGGGGUCAUAGCUUUUUCC
rnacentral:rRNA from 1 species